rnacentral:rRNA from 1 species
AUGUUGCCCUGGGUUCAGGUUGGGUUCCUCGCUGCACUUAAGCAUAUCAAACCCCGAGGGGAA